rnacentral:lncRNA from 1 species
ACUAUACUGCCUUUACAAUUUCCACUACCAAUUUUCACUAACCUAGUUAUACCCAUUUGGUUCUUACCGAGCCACCAUUUCCCCUAUCACCAUUGAACCCCCACUCUCAAUACCACCACGAUUAUCACCACCUUUGUAAGGAAAUCCUAAAUCUCAUUACCUAUACAACAUUGUUACCAACCUCCUUAUAACCUAGCAUUACUCAAGACAAACCCUAAAUAUUACAUCAAAC